UGAUUACUGGUACUCUGCUCAAUUCUUCCUUUUUACUCAGCCAAGGACCUCAGCCACGGGAUGGUGCUGUCUCCAACUAGGAUGGGUUUUCCCACCUCAGUUAAUUCCCUAACAGACACACCCAAAGUCUGUCUGCUGUGUGACUUGAGAGUCUGUCAGUCAUUUCUUGAACCAUUGGCUAAUUCUGUAAUUCUUUCCUGUUUCAAAGUCACAAAUCCUAGCUUGCAUAAUACAGUUCCUAAAAGAAUACAAAGUCUCCUGCUGAGGACACCAAGCAGAACUGAGCAUCUGUCCAUGUCACAGCCAACAGAAUGAAUAGAACUGCCUAGAUGCUCUUGUGACCCCGUGGGCAAUACAGGGACCACUAUCACAAAGGCCAUGGUGACUGCCACCAACUAAGUGAGAGAGUGUCCUUAGUCUCUGACCUAGAUGCCUGCUCACGCCUUUCCGAAGAGUCCAUGGUGCUGAGACAGGCUAACUUUCAAGCUCACAAGUGGAUAAAAUUUCAAGUGUGUGUUUCUUGGUCCUACUGAUAACAGACUCUGCUAGUUAAGUCACCCACAGAACCGAAACCCAGCAUUGGCAAUGCAUGCUUCUCAGGUGAACAAUUUCAGGGGGAUCCUAUCAUUCCAAUGACUCUGUCCCAGGAGUGUAUUAGAUACACAGAAGAAUGAAAAAAACAAAAAAAAAAACCAUGAUCCUUUUAGCCUGUUCCCUGCUAAGAUGAUAAAUCGAAAAGGCAACUGGAACCAAAUUGUGUCUUUGGUUAUUCCACAGAUGAGAAAUAGUCCUUAUUCUAUGUAAUAGGUUUUAAGUCAAAACACACCAGAACUAAAGUAGCACAUUUAGCCAGAUACUAAAGAUACCUACAUGAUACAAUCCCAUCCUAACAAAGAGAGGUUUGCAUAUCACACUACAGGGAGGAUGCAAAGAAUUUACAGUCUUCAUUCCAGACAGAUGGAACAGAUCUUUAAAAUAUGAAAAUAAGCUUCUGUUUUUCAUUCCUCAAUAUCGACAUGCAAAACACACACACAAAAAAAAACUUAAUGAAAAUUUAAAGGUCAUUUUUCUUUCCACUUAUUUCUAUUUGAUCUGUUGAGACAUUUUAAACAUUGUGCAAAAUAUUUGACUAUAAUUGAUUUGGUUUAAAGGUUACUGUCAGGUGUUACAUUUUAAAUGUAAAUUUGUAUAAUCAGAAUGGUAAUUCUCCACCAACAUUGCUAUUUAUAUAGACUUUUUAAUCCAUCACUCUCUAGAACCUUACUUUUUACAUUGUGUGUUAUAUGUGUGCUCGUGUAUGUGCACAGAUACCUCUCUCUCUCUCUCUCUCUCUCUCUCUCUCUCUCUCUGUGUGUGUGUGUGUGUGUGUGUGUGUGUGUGUGUGUGUGUGUGUGAGCACACACUCGAGUGCUUGUGGAGGCCACAACCUGAAAUGGUUCUUUUUGAGAUAGAGCCUCUCACUUGCCUGGAAUUCCAUCACACUUCACUGGCUGGUCAUGGGCCAGGGUCUACCUUUCUCUGCUUCCUUGGUGUGGGGAUCACAAACUCACAGUACCAGGCCAGUUCGUCCUUCCUUCCUUCCUUCCUUCCUUCCUUCCUUCCUUCCUUCCUUCCUUCCCUUCCCUUCCCUUCCUUCUUUUCUUCUUCUUUUUUUUUAUGUGAUUUAUGGAAAUAAACCAGGCCCUCACACUUCAAAGUCAAGUAUUUUAUUGACUGGACUAUGUCCUAGCCCUAACUCCUAAGUUUUCACUUUAAAAUGUAUUUAUUUUUAAGUGUAUGUGUAUUUGUGUGGGGGUGUGCUAGAAGAGGAGACUGGAUUCCCUGGAGCUGGAGUCACCAGUGUUGUGAGCUACCUGGGGUGGAUACUGACAACCAAACUCAGGCCCUCUGUCAGAGCAUCAGGUGCUCUUAAUCACUGAGCCAUCUCCCCAGCUCCAGUUUUCACUUUUAAAAAUAUUUUCUUGAUGCCAUUCCAAGAUUUUCAAACACAAAUACUCCAACAGAAUUUUAAAUCAUAUCUUAGUCAUGCUGGGAAGAAUUCAGCCCAGCAGGAAAAUCUGUAAAAACCACAGAGGUAUGUAGGGGAAAUGUUAGCCACACCCUCUUGGGGGCUGGCACAGAUGACACAGACCAUGCACACUUGGGCAUGGUCAGAGUGACGUAGCAUGACCUUAAAUAUGAGGGUGGCUCUCUCUGUUCCCUGACCUGCCUUGUGGUACAAGACUGACUCUGUGGCGUGAGUACAUUUAUAAUAAACAUCUGCUCAUCACACUUGCUCUGAUUCCAUCGCCAUCUGCAUUUAUUGCGUUUCACUUUAGAGCUACUUGGAGAUGCUGGAAAAUGUCUAGGGCAGCAAACAAGGCUAGUCCUGGAAAGAACCAGCACAUGGAGAUCCGGAUGUAGAACUCUCAGCUACUCCUCCAACACCAAGUGUGCCUGCCACCAUGGUCCCCAGUGUGGUGACAUGACAAUGGACUAAACCUCUAAAACCUACAGCAAGCCCCAGUUAAAUGCUUUCUUUUUAUAAGAGUUGCAGUGGUCGUGGUGUCUCUUCACAGCAAUAGAAGAGUGACUAAGAUAUUAGUGAUGGCUGGGAGUCACCAGCAUGCUAGAGCUAGAGCUAAGGAGCAGGAGAGUUACUCAAACAUAUGGAAGGCUUCCUGGCCACAGCUUCAUGGAUGACAGCCAACUCACCAGCCUGCGGUGACUCAGCAUACAGAGAGCCAAACAAUGAAGCCUGUGACCUCCUCUUCCUUCCACCAGUCUCCUGUCCAUGCCUCAGCAACCAAACCCAUCCAGUGGCAAAGGACAAGGAAGUUCCUGCUGUGGUCCAUGGGGUGAGUCAGCUUCUCAUAGAGAGAGGAAGAAAGACAGACGAAGAACUUGUCUAAAUUGCAGCCAUUCAGGCUGCACAUGAGGAAGGGGUAGUCUCAAUUUUGCAAAUUUCUUUAAGAGACAUUUUCUGUUGCUGAAAGAAAUCAAGGGCUCCCUAUGAGAAGUGAGGCGAGCUGGAAGUCGUCUAGAAUCUGAGCUGCCAUGCUGGAGACAACCAGAGGUUAUUUAGUGAGUCAUUCUUGUAUGAUGAGAAUAUUUUAAAAAUAACUCUCAGGGGAAAAAUGUAUUAUGAAUGUAUAUGCAGAACUCCUGCCUCAAUUUUUGCUAGUAAAACCCCAACUUACUGAAGGGACCAGCUCCCCUUUCGGCAGUCAUAAUGGCCAAACACAUGCUUGUCUGACCUUGUCCUAGACACUAGAAAGUCAGAUGCCUGCCUCGUGACAAGGAACCAAUCAGAAGUUAGCUGGUGGCGCUAUGCUUUACCACCCUGGGUAUACUUUACGGACAAGCACACAACAAUGACGCGGAGCAUAGCAACCACCCUGGGAGGGCCUAUGGGCCAUAACAACCAGUUGGCCAAUCAACACAGGGCAAACCCUCCAAGCCUGGAGGCACACCAAUAGUGAGCCUGAGCGUACCCCUAGACACUCCCCUUACGCUGCCCUACAAGAUCUCUUGGGAGGCCCUAGGUCUUGUCUUUGCUAGCCAUCCACCACGGUGGGUGGGUGAAAGACCCGAGCUAACAUGGGGUUAGCUCGUUAAAAAAACAAUAAAGCCUCGUGCAGUUUGCAGCAAGCUCUCGAAUCUGCCUGGUGAUUGGGGUGACCUCGGUCGUGGCCUGGGACCCCGGAUACCUGAGUUUUCCGGGGGUCUAACAUUACAAGAUGGGAAAUGGCAGCUUGAGAAGGAUGGGUGUCAGACAAGUUUUGCCAUUUUUCUUAGAAACUAUCCAGAGGGAAUAAGCACACUGAGAAACAAACAGACGAGCAAACGCCACUUUUGGCAUCACAAGGUGAAACUCAAACCACACAAACUGCAGAGGGAGUGGGUCCCAGUGGACAGGCGGGCUGCAAGAGGUAAGAGGUGUGUUCACAGUCCCUGGUUGCAGAUCAGGCUGAGGGACAUUCCAUGGUAAAGAUCGUGGAGGAGAGAUGGCAAGCCAAGUCUAAGUCAGAGGGAGGCCGACAUGCAGAGAGACUGGAGGCAGAAGGAAUGUGGGCAGGGCUAAACAAAAUUUGGUGAAUCACACACAUUUGUAGGUUGGUCUCAGUCUGCCAGCAAGAAAACCAUUGAGUAGCCUAGAAUUUGGCUUUAGAUGGUACAAACUAAGGUAGAUCACCACCUAAACCCUGACUUGUGCGAGAGAGGGAGAGAACAGAGGAGACAGGGGAGGACAGGGACACAGUGGAAUUUUCAAAGGUGUGACCCCAGUGACCUACCUCCUCCACCUAGUCCCCACUUCCUAAUUUGUCUCUCUCCUAGCACUGCCACCAAGUUAUGAGUCCACCAUUAGGGUCAUUCAUGCCGUAGGUGAGAAUCUCAUGACAUAGUGGCCUCCCUCAAGUUCUUCCCUGAGUACUGUAGCCUUCAACAUGUGAACGUUGUAGGCUAAUCAUAAUACACACACGCGCAUGCACACACACACACACACACACACACACACACACACACACACACACACUUCUGACCUAACUACACCUGUGCCUUGUUGCUAAAACAUCUGGCAAAGUACAAUAGUAAUAAAGUGAGUGACAGAAGGUGGACGGGACAGGGAACUCAAAGGUUGAAGAGACACCAGUGUGGAGUAAUGAGACUCGUUUUUUUUUGUUGUUGUUGUUUUUCUUCCUCUUAAUUACCUGCUGGCUUUGAUCUGAAGGCUGGCUGAAAGGGGAACAACCAGAAACAAUCAGAAAACAAGUUGGAGAAACCUUAGCAUCCAACCACAAGGCUGCUGGGAGCAAGAUCAUGAGUUGUGAACUACUCAUGGUUUUCCUUUCCGAGAUUAGCCUGGUCAAGAAGCUGACAUCUAAGACAGGGAGGAAAAACAACAACAACAAAAAAAAAAAAACAAAAAAAACAACUGUCCUUCUGGAGCUGUGGUUCUCAACCUUCCUAAAGCUUCGACCCUUUAAUGCAGUUCCUCACAUGGUGACCCACAGGCUCUAACAGGCUGGAGCACGGCAAACAUGGCACCGAUGGGUUUUGCCUUUUUCUCCCUUUCCCUCUUCCUUGCUAAAAACUGUAAGAUUACAUUUCUAAAGUUAGUCCCCACAGCACACUCCCUUAUUUGGUCAUUAACUCAUUCCUGAGACUAAACGCCAAGAUCCAAGACUCAAAAUUCAUUAUUUGGCUAACAUGUCCAAUCAGGACUUACCAGCUCACCCUAGCACAGAUCCCCUUUCUCCUUAAAAAUCCACUCCUGCAAAAAUCACCUGCUUGCUGGUGUUGCUUGUGUCUGCCUUGGUGCCCCCACCUCCCCCACCCCUGCCCCAGUCAUGUGUGCACUUGCCCCUUAAGGGUGAUAGAAUUUGGUGUCUGAGUGUGUCCUGUACUGACUCUGAGGGGAAACACUCCCUUGCUUAUUCUUAUUACUAUGUCAUAACUGUAAUUUUGCUACUUUAUUAAUCAUAAUGUAAUAUCUGUGUUUUCUGUGGUCUUAGGCCAUCCCUGUGAAAUAGUCCUUUGACCCUCAAAGGGUUUGCGACCCACAGGUUGAGAGCCACUGUUCUAGAGAGAGCCCCUGGGGAGUGGGGCUCCUGGGAGCAGCAGAGAAUGGCGCUUUGAAAGGCAUGUUGAAGGGGCCUAAUUCUGGGUGGUUUGUUAUGUAGCAAAGGAUACUUAAUACAGGGGUUCAUGCCUGUCCUAGCCUGCUUCAAUAAAACACGGACCAAGAACAACUUGGGAAGGAAAGGAUUUAUUUGGCUGGAGACAGGACCUGAAGCAGAGAGCAUAGAACACUGCUUACUGGCUUGCUCAGUUUGCUUUCUAAAACUGCACGGUACGACCCGUAGUGGGCUGGGCCCUCUCACAUCAUCAAGAAAAUGCCCAGACAAGCCUAUAGGCCUAUGUGGUGGAGGCCAUUCUUUAAUGCUCCUUCUUCCCAGGGAACUGCAGCUUGUGUUGGGCUCUCAAAAACUUUUCCUUAGCAGGCACAAGGUCUUGGACUGAAUCUCCAGUGUAAGGAUCAUCUGAGCAAAAAGGAUUUUAAAAAAUUCCAUUCAAACGAUGUUUUUUGAAUACUUCCAAUAAAAUACCAAAAGAUGAACUUAUGUACAAGGAUGAAUAUAAGUUCAGGGGGUGAGUAAAACAGGAACCCUGCAACUAUAAUCCCACAAGUCUACUGAAUCAUUAAUUGGCUCUAAUAAAGUUCGUGAACGAUUUGCCUUGGUUUUCAGAGAGGAGAGAACUUCAGGACCCCGCUGAGACACAGCCAAGAACUGUUCCUUAAGGCAGGGAGGGGGCUGGGAGAAACAGCCUCCAACCCGGCAUACCUCCAGGGGUGGGGCUGGAGGCCUUGUCCCCUCUGCGGCUGCCAGAAGC
rnacentral:lncRNA from 1 species